CCCCAGCGCCACGAGUGGGAGUCGCUUUUAUUGGGCCUAAAGCGUCCGUAGCCAGUUUUGUAAGUCUUUUGUGAAAUUGUUAGGCUUAACCUGACAGCGUGCAAGAGAUACUGCAAUUCUAGAGACCGGGAGGAGUAUGGGGUAUUCCAUGGGGAACGGUAAAAUGUAAUAAUCCAUGGAGGACCACCAGUGGCGAAGGCGCCAUACUAGAACGGAUCUGACGGUGAGGGACGAAGGCCAGGGGAGCAAAACG
rnacentral:rRNA from 1 species